CCAGGGUUGGGGUUUUAGGGUCAGGGCGCAGGUUUAGGGUGAUUUCCAGGAAGUGACCUCACAAUGACUCAAGCUACCACUUACUGUUGAUUGUGACGAAAUGCCAGCUGAUGCAUAUGCCUUGGGAGCUAAUUCGUUGCUGCCCUUGACUACUAUGAAGACUGGUGUGGGAAGGGUCGCUUUGGAUGCACUUGAGCAGGGGUCCCCAACCCCUGAGCCAUGGAGCCGUAAGGAGCCACACAGCAGGUGAGUGGUGUCGAGUGAGGGAGUGAGGGAAGCUUCGUCUGUAUUUACAGCCACUCCCCUUUGCUCACAUUCCCGCCUGAGCUCCACCUUCUCAGAUGAGCAGCAGCAUUAGAUUCUCAUAGGAGAACGCACCCUGUUGUGAACCGUGCAUGUGAGGGAUCUAGGUUGCGCUGUGCUUAUGAGAAUCUAAUACCUAUUGAUCUGUCACUUUCUCCCAUCACGCUCAGGUGGGACCAUCCAGUUUCAGGAAAACAAGCUUAACACGCCCACUGAUUCUACAUUAUGCUCCUACCUCCCGGCAGCCUCGCCAGGCCCAGAACUCUCUCCAGUCAGCCUCUACAGACCAAGCUCAUGACUCACAAUGGCCUAUUUAGGCCCAUACCCUACCUCACGGCAGUCUCCGCAGAUGAGCCUACUGCCUCACAACAGCCUCCACAGGCACAGCUCCAUCGUUACAAUGGCCUCUUUAGACCCAGCUCCUGCCGCCCAGCCUUCUCUCCAGGCCCUGAACUUUCUCCGGUCUCCCUCUGUUGUCCGAGGCUGGAGGGUAGUAGUGCUAUCGCAGCUGACUGCAGCCUCAACCUUCCAGGCUGAAGCGAUCCUCCCAUCUCAACCUCCCACGUGGCUGAGACUACAGGUGCUUGCCACUAUGCCCAACUAAUAUUUGGUAUUUUCGUAUACGUGGAUUCCAGAGGAGUGACAGCGAAACGUGGGACCAUCCAGUUUCAGGAAAACAAGCUUAACACGCCCACUGAUUCUACAUUAUGAUUCUUCAGGCCCAGCAUCUGCCUCACUGUGGACCCCCCAAGCCAAGCUCCCAACCUUUCAGCAGCUUCUACACACCCAGCUCCCGCCUGCCAGUGGCCUCUUCAGGCCCAUGGGGCUCAUUCCUCACAACAGCCUUUCCAGUCCCAGUUUUUCCCUUCUGGCGGCCUCUCCGGGCUGAGAACCUCCUCAAGUCGGCCUCUCCAGACUCACUUGCACCCUCCAGGCGUCCUCUCCGGGCCAAGCUCCUCUUCCUGGCUGCGUCUCCAGGCCCGACUCCUGCCUCUCAACAACCUCUUUGGACUCAGUGCCUACCCAUCUCCUGGCGUCCUUGGUCGGCCCACAGCUUCCUCAAGCCAAGCUCCCCAGGCCCAGGUCAGGCCUCACGGUGCCCCCUCCACGAUGAGCUCCUGCCCUCCAAUGGCACCUGCAGGACCCAAAUGGUCUCCGGUCGGUGGGCUCCUCCAUGCCAAGCUUGGGCCUCCCGGUGACCUCUGCAGGCCCAAGUUGUCCUGAAGUCGGCAUCUCCCAGCCAUGCCUCCCAGCAAGUAAGCAAGCUCUUUUGGCUCAACUCCUGCCCAGCUCCCAACCGCCUUUGUAGGUCCCGAACUUUCUCCAGCCAAGUUCUUUGGGCCUCAUUCCUGCCGCCCGGUGGCCUGUACGGGCCCAGCAAUGGUUGGAGAACGGCCUCUGCAGGUCCCGCUCUUGCCUCCCAGGGGCCUCUCCAGGCCCAGCUCUUGCCCCCACGGCGGCCACCUGGGGCCAAGUCCCUGCCUGCCUCCCAGCAGCCCGCAUGCGGCCCAGCUCCUCCCUCACGGUGGCCUGUUGAUGCCCAUGCCUCUGGUACCCUGCCCAGAGGCAUGAGCCCCUGCCACACACUGGCUCCUCCCACGCUGAGAGAGGUCAGCGUGAGCCCUUGCCUCACACCGGCCCCUCCCAUCCUGAGAGAGGUCAGCGUGAGCCCCUUGCCUGACCCUGGCUCCUCCCACGCUGAGAGAGGUCAGCGUGAGCCCUUGCCUCACACCGGCCCCUCCCAUGCUGAGAGAGGUUGGCGUGAGCCCUUGCCUCACACCGGCCCCUCCCACGGUGAGAGAGGUCAGCGUCAGCCCCUUGCCUCACACCGGCCCCUCCCACGGUGAGAGAGGUCGGCGUGAGCCCUUGCCUCACACCGGCCCCUCCCACGGUGAGAGAGGUCAGCGUCAGCCCCUUGCCUCACACCGGCCCCUCCCACGCUGAGAGAGGUCGCCGUGAGCCCUUGACUCACACCGGCCCCUCCCACGCUGAGAGAGGUCAACAUGAGCUCCUUGCCUCACACCGGCCCCUCCCACGCUGAGAGAGGUCGGCGUGAGCCCUUGCCUCACGCCGGCCCCUCCCACGCUGAGAGAGGUCAACAUGAGCCCCUUGCCUCACACCGGCCCCUCCCACGCUGAGAGAGGUCAGCGUGAGCCCUUGCCUCACACCGGCCCCUCCCACGCUGAGAGAGGUCGGCAUGAGCCCCUUGCCUCACACAGGCCCCUCUCACUCUGACAGAGGUCAGCCUGAGCCCUUGUCUCACACCGGCCCCUCCCACGCUGAGAGGUCAGCGUGAGCCCUUGCCUCACACCGGCCCCUCCCACGCUGAGAGAGGUCAGCGUGAGCCCCUUGCCUCACCCCGGCCCCUCCCACGCUGAGAGAGGUCGGCGUGAGCCCUUGCCUCACACCGGCCCCUCCCACGCUGAGAGAGGUCAGCGUGAGCCCCUUGCCUCACCCCGGCCCCUCCCAUGCUGAGAGAGGUCGGCGUGAGCCCUUGCCUCACACCGGCCCCUCCCAUGCUGAGAGAGGUCGGCGUGAGCCCCUUGCCUCACACCGGCCCCUCCCACGCUGAGAGAGGUCGGCGUGAGCCCUUGCCUCACACCGGCCCCUCCCACGGUGAGAGAGGUCAGCGUCAGCCCCUUGCCUCACACCGGCCCCUCCCACGCUGAGAGAGGUCGGCGUGAGCCCUUGCCUCACACCGGCCCCUCCCACGGUGAGAGAGGUCAGCGUGAGCCCCUGCCUCAACAGGCCACCGUGAGGGAGGAGCAGGGUCGCACGCGGGCUGCUGUGAGGCAGGCAGCGACUUGGGCCUGGGAGGUCGUGGUGGGGUGAGAGCUGGGCUUGGAGACUCCCCUGGGAGGCAACAGCGGGGCCUACAGACUCUGUUCUCCAGCCGGAGCUGGGACUGUUCAGGUACUGGGAGGUGGGAUGUGGGUCUGAAGAGCUUGGUUGCAGAAACUUCGGGGUCUACAAACGCAGGCGGGAGCUGAGCCAAAAAAGCUUGUUUGCUGGGAGGCGGGAGAUGCAGCCAGGAGAAACAGCUGUGCCUGCAGAGGCCGCCAUGCGGGAGGCGGAGGCCGGGCCUCCUCAAAUCGGCCUCUCCAGACCCACUUGCAGCCUCCCGGCAUCCUCUCCGGGCCCAGCUCUUCCUCCCGGCUGCAUCUCCAGGCCUGAGUCUGGCCUCCCUACAACGUCUUUGGACUCAGCUCCUGCCCAGCUCCCAGCAGGCCCAAGUUGUCGUCAAGUCAGCCUGGAAUUGGGCCCGGAAGAGCAGCAAGUCGGCCUCCCCGGGCCCAGCUCCGUCCUCUCGGCGGCCUCUCCAGAUGCAAAACUUCCUCGAGUCAGCCUCUCCAGGCCCAGCUCCUCCUGCCUCCCAGUGGCCUCUUUCAGCCCAGACCAGCUCAUGGCUCUUGGCGGCCUUCCCAGGCCCCGCUUUUGACUUUUGGUGGCCUCUUCAGGCCCAGAACUUGACCUCCAGUGGGCCUUUGCAGGCCCGGCCUCCUGCCUCUCGAAGGCCUGCACGGGCCCGGACUCACAGCGGACUCACAGCGGACUCUCCAUGCCCAGCUAGCUCUCGCCUCAUUGCGGCCUCCCGAGUCCAAAGCUCCUGCCUCUCGGCCGCUUCGGCAGGCCCAGCUCCCGCCUGCCAGUGGCCUCUUUAGGCCCAGCUCGUUCCUCACAACGGCCUUCCCAGGCCCCGUUUUUCCCUUCUGGCAGCCUCUUGGCCUCUAAUUUGUUUAUCUUUUGUGUAUAAAUCCCAAAAUAUUGAAUUUUGGAAUAUUUCCACCAUUAUGUAAAUAUUUUGGUAGGUGAUUUAUUUGGGGUGAGUUUCUGCACCAAGCCUGAAUUUUUUAUUUUAUUUUCCUUAUUAUUUGGUGUUAAACAGGUUUAAUGACGGUCAUGGCAACUGUUUGGCACAAUGAAAAAUAUCACCCAUGAUCAAUGUGUUCUGUUCUGGGGAAGGGGGCAAAGGCAGGGUGAAUCACUUUCUUAAAAAGUAUAGCUCAAGUUGGGAGUGCAGAGGGAAUGGGGAUAAAACCCUCCCGCUGCCUGUGUCGAAGUGCAGGAGCCCCCACCCCCAUACUCACCUGAGUCCAGCCCCUCUGGGGAAAGAAGGGGUGCAUGAACUCCCCCUAGUCCACAGGCACCUCCCUGUGGCCCAAGGCCCUCUUCACACUCCAUCUUGUAGCCCCAACAGGAGCUAUUUUCCGAAAAGUGAAAAGCUCUGAAGGUCCCACAAUUCAUGGUAUGUACACCUCCCUCACCAGGGGCUGCAAAGUGGCCUGGAGCUCCAUACUGAGUAGAAGUCUUUGGGCCAGAGUCAGCAUCUGGCUGACGGUCCGGAUAUCCUGGUUGGAGUGACCCUGGUGUGCCCUGCCAGGGCCUGGUGCCGCUUGCUGAAGAUCAUGACCGCCACUCAUGGGCCACCGAUGUGGUCCUUGUCCCAUUUGUUGGGGCUGCGUCCAUCCUUCUCAGAAGAUGAGUCCUGUUCCUUGCGCAGGGCACUGAGGGACUGGGCCUGACAUCAUCUGAGUGGUAGAGGCAACUGGGUGUCAGGAGACAUGAUGGAGAGGAAAGCAUCAUCAUGGUCAUUCUCUGUCUCACUGUCAAGCAGGGACUCCCCUGAGGGGCCCAGGGCUCCUCCUCCAUGGUGGGAGGUGGGACCAUCCAGUUUCAGGAAAACAAGCUUAACACGCCCACUGAAUCUACAUUAUGAUUCUUCAGGCCCAGCAUCUGCCUCACUGUGGACCCCCCAAGCCAAGCUCCCAACCUUUCAGCAGCUUCUACACACCCAGCUCCCGCCUGCCAGUGGCCUCUUCAGGCCCAUGGGGCUCAUUCCUCACAACAGCCUUUCCAGUCCCAGUUUUUCCCUUCCGGCGGCCUCUCCGGGCUGAGAACCUCCUCAAGUCGGCCUCUCCAGACUCACUUGCACCCUCCAGGCGUCCUCUCCGGGCCAAGCUCCUCUUCCUGGCUGCGUCUCCAGGCCCGACUCCUGCCUCUCAACAACCUCUUUGGACUCAGUGCCUACCCAUCUCCUGGCGUCCUUGGUCGGCCCACAGCUUCCUCAAGCCAAGCUCCCCAGGCCCAGGUCAGGCCUCACGGUGCCCCCUCCACGAUGAGCUCCUGCCCUCCAAUGGCACCUGCAGGACCCAAAUGGUCUCCGGUCGGUGGGCUCCUCCAUGCCAAGCUUGGGCCUCCCGGUGACCUCUGCAGGCCCAAGUUGUCCUGAAGUCGGCAUCUCCCAGCCAUGCCUCCCAGCAAGUAAGCAAGCUCUUUUGGCUCAACUCCUGCCCAGCUCCCAACCGCCUUUGUAGGUCCCGAACUUUCUCCAGCCAAGUUCUUUGGGCCUCAUUCCUGCCGCCCGGUGGCCUGUACGGGCCCAGCAAUGGUUGGAGAACGGCCUCUGCAGGUCCCGCUCUUGCCUCCCAGGGGCCUCUCCAGGCCCAGCUCUUGCCCCCACGGCGGCCACCUGGGGCCAAGUCCCUGCCUGCCUCCCAGCAGCCCGCAUGCGGCCCAGCUCCUCCCUCACGGUGGCCUGUUGAUGCCCAUGCCUCUGGUACCCUGCCCAGAGGCAUGAGCCCCUGCCACACACUGGCUCCUCCCACGCUGAGAGAGGUCAGCGUGAGCCCUUGCCUCACACCGGCCCCUCCCAUCCUGAGAGAGGUCAGCGUGAGCCCCUUGCCUGACCCUGGCUCCUCCCACGCUGAGAGAGGUCAGCGUGAGCCCUUGCCUCACACCGGCCCCUCCCAUGCUGAGAGAGGUUGGCGUGAGCCCUUGCCUCACACCGGCCCCUCCCACGGUGAGAGAGGUCAGCGUCAGCCCCUUGCCUCACACCGGCCCCUCCCACGGUGAGAGAGGUCGGCGUGAGCCCUUGCCUCACACCGGCCCCUCCCACGGUGAGAGAGGUCAGCGUCAGCCCCUUGCCUCACACCGGCCCCUCCCACGCUGAGAGAGGUCGCCGUGAGCCCUUGACUCACACCGGCCCCUCCCACGCUGAGAGAGGUCAACAUGAGCUCCUUGCCUCACACCGGCCCCUCCCACGCUGAGAGAGGUCGGCGUGAGCCCUUGCCUCACGCCGGCCCCUCCCACGCUGAGAGAGGUCAACAUGAGCCCCUUGCCUCACACCGGCCCCUCCCACGCUGAGAGAGGUCAGCGUGAGCCCUUGCCUCACACCGGCCCCUCCCACGCUGAGAGAGGUCGGCAUGAGCCCCUUGCCUCACACAGGCCCCUCUCACUCUGACAGAGGUCAGCCUGAGCCCUUGUCUCACACCGGCCCCUCCCACGCUGAGAGGUCAGCGUGAGCCCUUGCCUCACACCGGCCCCUCCCACGCUGAGAGAGGUCAGCGUGAGCCCCUUGCCUCACCCCGGCCCCUCCCACGCUGAGAGAGGUCAGCGUGAGCCCUUGCCUCACACCGGCCCCUCCCACGCUGAGAGAGGUCGGCGUGAGCCCCUUGCCUCACCCCGGCCCCUCCCAUGCUGAGAGAGGUCGGCGUGAGCCCUUGCCUCACACCGGCCCCUCCCAUGCUGAGAGAGGUCGGCGUGAGCCCCUUGCCUCACACCGGCCCCUCCCACGCUGAGAGAGGUCGGCGUGAGCCCUUGCCUCACACCGGCCCCUCCCACGGUGAGAGAGGUCAGCGUCAGCCCCUUGCCUCACACCGGCCCCUCCCACGCUGAGAGAGGUCGGCGUGAGCCCUUGCCUCACACCGGCCCCUCCCACGGUGAGAGAGGUCAGCGUGAGCCCCUGCCUCAACAGGCCACCGUGAGGGAGGAGCAGGGUCGCACGCGGGCUGCUGUGAGGCAGGCAGCGACUUGGGCCUGGGAGGUCGUGGUGGGGUGAGAGCUGGGCUUGGAGACUCCCCUGGGAGGCAACAGCGGGGCCUACAGACUCUGUUCUCCAGCCGGAGCUGGGACUGUUCAGGUACUGGGAGGUGGGAUGUGGGUCUGAAGAGCUUGGUUGCAGAAACUUCGGGGUCUACAAACGCAGGCGGGAGCUGAGCCAAAAAAGCUUGUUUGCUGGGAGGCGGGAGAUGCAGCCAGGAGAAACAGCUGUGCCUGCAGAGGCCGCCAUGCGGGAGGCGGAGGCCGGGCCUCCUCAAAUCGGCCUCUCCAGACCCACUUGCAGCCUCCCGGCAUCCUCUCCGGGCCCAGCUCUUCCUCCCGGCUGCAUCUCCAGGCCUGAGUCUGGCCUCCCUACAACGUCUUUGGACUCAGCUCCUGCCCAGCUCCCAGCAGGCCCAAGUUGUCGUCAAGUCAGCCUGGAAUUGGGCCCGGAAGAGCAGCAAGUCGGCCUCCCCGGGCCCAGCUCCGUCCUCUCGGCGGCCUCUCCAGAUGCAAAACUUCCUCGAGUCAGCCUCUCCAGGCCCAGCUCCUCCUGCCUCCCAGUGGCCUCUUUCAGCCCAGACCAGCUCAUGGCUCUUGGCGGCCUUCCCAGGCCCCGCUUUUGACUUUUGGUGGCCUCUUCAGGCCCAGAACUUGACCUCCAGUGGGCCUUUGCAGGCCCGGCCUCCUGCCUCUCGAAGGCCUGCACGGGCCCGGACUCACAGCGGACUCACAGCGGACUCUCCAUGCCCAGCUAGCUCUCGCCUCAUUGCGGCCUCCCGAGUCCAAAGCUCCUGCCUCUCGGCCGCUUCGGCAGGCCCAGCUCCCGCCUGCCAGUGGCCUCUUUAGGCCCAGCUCGUUCCUCACAACGGCCUUCCCAGGCCCCGUUUUUCCCUUCUGGCAGCCUCUUGGCCUCUAAUUUGUUUAUCUUUUGUGUAUAAAUCCCAAAAUAUUGAAUUUUGGAAUAUUUCCACCAUUAUGUAAAUAUUUUGGUAGGUGAUUUAUUUGGGGUGAGUUUCUGCACCAAGCCUGAAUUUUUUAUUUUAUUUUCCUUAUUAUUUGGUGUUAAACAGGUUUAAUGACGGUCAUGGCAACUGUUUGGCACAAUGAAAAAUAUCACCCAUGAUCAAUGUGUUCUGUUCUGGGGAAGGGGGCAAAGGCAGGGUGAAUCACUUUCUUAAAAAGUAUAGCUCAAGUUGGGAGUGCAGAGGGAAUGGGGAUAAAACCCUCCCGCUGCCUGUGUCGAAGUGCAGGAGCCCCCACCCCCAUACUCACCUGAGUCCAGCCCCUCUGGGGAAAGAAGGGGUGCAUGAACUCCCCCUAGUCCACAGGCACCUCCCUGUGGCCCAAGGCCCUCUUCACACUCCAUCUUGUAGCCCCAACAGGAGCUAUUUUCCGAAAAGUGAAAAGCUCUGAAGGUCCCACAAUUCAUGGUAUGUACACCUCCCUCACCAGGGGCUGCAAAGUGGCCUGGAGCUCCAUACUGAGUAGAAGUCUUUGGGCCAGAGUCAGCAUCUGGCUGACGGUCCGGAUAUCCUGGUUGGAGUGACCCUGGUGUGCCCUGCCAGGGCCUGGUGCCGCUUGCUGAAGAUCAUGACCGCCACUCAUGGGCCACCGAUGUGGUCCUUGUCCCAUUUGUUGGGGCUGCGUCCAUCCUUCUCAGAAGAUGAGUCCUGUUCCUUGCGCAGGGCACUGAGGGACUGGGCCUGACAUCAUCUGAGUGGUAGAGGCAACUGGGUGUCAGGAGACAUGAUGGAGAGGAAAGCAUCAUCAUGGUCAUUCUCUGUCUCACUGUCAAGCAGGGACUCCCCUGAGGGGCCCAGGGCUCCUCCUCCAUGGUGGGAGGUGGGACCAUCCAGUUUCAGGAAAACAAGCUUAACACGCCCACUGAAUCUACAUUAUGCUCCUACCUCCUGGCAGCCUCGCCAGGCCCAGAACUCUCUCCAGUCAGCCUCUACAGACCAAGCUCAUGACUCACAAUGGCCUAUUUAGGCCCAUACCCUACCUCACGGCAGUCUCCGCAGAUGAGCCUACUGCCUCACAACAGCCUCCACAGGCACAGCUCCAUCUUUACAAUGGCCUCUUUAGACCCAGCUCCUGCCUCCCAGCCUUCUCUCCAGGCCCUGAACUUUCUCCGUGGGACCAUCCAGUUUCAGGAAAACAAGCUUAACACGCCCACUGAUUCUACAUUAUGCUCCUACCUCCCGGCAGCCUCGCCAGGCCCAGAACUCUCUCCAGUCAGCCUCUACAGACCAAGCUCAUGACUCACAAUGGCCUAUUGAGGCCCAUACCCUACCUCACGGCAGUCUCCGCAGAUGAGCCUACUGCCUCACAACAGCCUCCACAGGCACAGCUCCAUCGUUACAAUGGCCUCUUUAGACCCAGCUCCUGCCUCCCAGCCUUCUCUCCAGGCCCUGAACUUUCUCCGUGGGACCAUCCAGUUUCAGGAAAACAAGCUUAACACGCCCACUGAUUCUACAUUAUGCUCCUACCUCCCGGCAGCCUCGCCAGGCCCAGAACUCUCUCCAGUCAGCCUCUACAGACCAAGCUCAUGACUCACAAUGGCCUAUUGAGGCCCAUACCCUACCUCACGGCAGUCUCCGCAGAUGAGCCUACUGCCUCACAACAGCCUCCACAGGCACAGCUCCAUCGUUACAAUGGCCUCUUUAGACCCAGCUCCUGCCUCCCAGCCUUCUCUCCAGGCCCUGAACUUUCUCCGUAAGUUGAGGUAGCUGGGACUGUAGGUAUACAUGAUGAUACUUGGCUAAUUUUUAAAUUGUUUUGCAGACAUGGGGUCUCACUUUGUUGGCCAGGCUGCUGUCAAACUAAUGGCCUCAAGUGACCCUUCCACCCCUGCCUCCCAUCCUCGAGGUAUG